GUAGGCUAGUUGAGAACACCUUUAUUUAACCAGGUAGGCUAGUUGAGAACACCUUUAUUUAACCAGGUAGGCUAGUUGAGAACACCUUUAUUUAACCAGGUAGGCUAGUUGAGAACACCUUUAUUUAACCAGGUAGGCUAGUUGAGAACACCUUUAUUUAACCAGGUAGGCUAGUUGAGAACACCUUUAUUUAACCAGGUAGGCUAGUUGAGAACACCUUUAUUUAACCAGGUAGGCUAGUUGAGAACACCUUUAUUUAACCAGGUAGGCUAGUUGAGAACACCUUUAUUUAACCAGGUAGGCUAGUUGAGAACACCUUUAUUUGACCAGGUAGGCUAGUUGAGAACACCUUUAUUUGACCAGGUAGGCUAGUUGAGAACACCUUUAUUUAACCAGGUAGGCUAGUUGAGAACACCUUUAUUUAACCAGGUAGGCUAGUUGAGAACACCUUUAUUUGACCAGGUAGGCUAGUUGAGAACACCUUUAUUUAACCAGGUAGGCUAGUUGAGAACACCUUUAUUUAACCAGGUAGGCUAGUUGAGAACACCUUUAUUUGACCAGGUAGGCUAGUUGAGAACACCUUUAUUUGACCAGGUAGGCUAGUUGAGAACACCUUUAUUUAACCAGGUAGGCUAGUUGAGAACACCUUUAUUUAACCAGGUAGGCUAGUUGAGAACACCUUUAUUUAACCAGGUAGGCUAGUUGAGAACACCUUUAUUUGACCAGGUAGGCUAGUUGAGAACACCUUUAUUUAACCAGGUAGGCUAGUUGAGAACACCUUUAUUUAACCAGGUAGGCUAGUUGAGAACACCUUUAUUUAACCAGGUAGGCUAGUUGAGAACACCUUUAUUUAACCAGGUAGGCUAGUUGAGAACACCUUUAUUUAACCAGGUAGGCUAGUUGAGAACACCUUUAUUUAACCAGGUAGGCUAGUUGAGAACACCUUUAUUUGACCAGGUAGGCUAGUUGAGAACACCUUUAUUUAACCAGGUAGGCUAGUUGAGAACACCUUUAUUUAACCAGGUAGGCUAGUUGAGAACACCUUUAUUUAACCAGGUAGGCUAGUUGAGAACACCUUUAUUUAACCAGGUAGGCUAGUUGAGAACACCUUUAUUUAACCAGGUAGGCUAGUUGAGAACACCUUUAUUUAACCAGGUAGGCUAGUUGAGAACACCUUUAUUUAACCAGGUAGGCUAGUUGAGAACACCUUUAUUUAACCAGGUAGGCUAGUUGAGAACAAGUUCUCAUUUACAACUGCGACCUGGCCAAGAUAAAGCAAA